rnacentral:sRNA from 1 species
AAAAGAGGAACUUUCACUAACAACGCGUACGUCCUGUAGGCAACGCGAAAGCCACCGCAUCCUGCGGA